GGUUAGUAGGUUGGUCAUGCCUCUGGUAUGUACUGGUCUCACUGAUUCCUCCUUCCUUAUGAACCGUAAUGCCAUUAAUUUGGUGUUGCGGGGAAUUUGGACUGUUACUUUGAAAAAAUUAGAGUGUUUAAAGCAGGCUAACGCUUGAAUACUUUAGCAUGGAAUAAUGAAAUAGGACGUUCGAUCUUAUUUGUUGGUUUCAGGAUGACGUAAUGAUUAAUAGGGAUAGUUGGGC
rnacentral:rRNA from 1 species